rnacentral:rRNA from 1 species
UACAGAGGUGGCGAGCGUUGUUCGGAUUUACUGGGCGUAAAGGGCGCGUAGGCGGCCGGACGUGUGGGGUGUGAAAUCUCCGGGCCCAACCCGGAAAGUGCGCUCCAAACUGUGCGGCUCGAGGCCGGGAUGGGUGGCCGGAAUGCAGGGUGUAGCGGUGAAAUGCGUUGAUAUCCUGCAGAACACCGGAGGCGAAGGCGGGCCACUGGAACGGAUCUGACGCUGAGGCGCGAAAGCCGGGGGAGCGAAC